rnacentral:lncRNA from 1 species
UUUGGUGUUUUUAUCUAUGAAUCAGGAUUGACUUUUGAAGUUACUAGUUGUCUCUCGCUUUUGUUUAUUUUAUUGUUUGAGUGGGUGUGGUGAGGCUAGGACUCUUAGGGGUCGUUUGGUUGGGAAAUAAGUUAUCCCGUGAUUAAUUAUCAGGGAUUAGUCGUCCUGGGAUUAGUUAUCCCACGCUCCCAUAGGGAUAAAAAAACAUUGCAAUCCCGGGAUAACUGAUCCGGGGAUUAGUUAUACCACAAUUUUAUUCCAACCAAAC